AUUAGUAAUUGAUUUUUUUAUAUGCAAAUUUAAGUAUUUUUUAAAAUAUUUUUAAAUAGGGUAUUUCAAAUUUUAUUCGCAGUAAAUUGAAUUAAAAAUAAAAGUAAUUUUGAUUUAGAAAUUCAGUUAAGAAUUAGCCAAAUUUGUGCCAGCAGUUGCGGUUAUACAGAUAGUUCAAUUAAUUUUUUUUCAGUUAGUAAUAAAUUGUUUAAUUUAAAAUAUGGCUAUAAAUUUAUUAAGUGAAAUUUUAAAUUUAGUUAAUUUUUUUUUAAUUAUAUGAACUUACAAAAUUUUAUUAAAAACUAGGAUUAGAUACCCUAUUAUUAAAAUGUAAAUUUUUAUGCUAAAUUAGUAUUAGUUAUGUUCUUGAAAAUUAAAGAUUUUGGCGGUAUUUUAGUCUUUUCAGAGGAACCUGUCCUAUUAUUGAUAGUCCACGAUUAAUUAUACUUGUUUUAUUAGUUUAUAUAUCGUCGUAGUUGAAUAUCUUAUAAGAGUUAAAAUAUUCAAGAUUUUUCAUUAAGAAAAUAAAUCAGAUCAAGGUGUAGCUUAUAGAUAAGAAGAGAUGGGUUACAAUAAGGUUAUUUAAACGGAAUAAUAAAUGAAAAAAAUUAUGAAGGAGGAUUUGAAAGUAAUAAGAUUAAAUUUAAUUUUAUGAUUUUAGCUCUAAAAUAUGCACAUAUCGCCCGUCGCUCUCAUAUAAAAUGAGAUAAGUCGUAACAAAGUAGGUGUACUGGAAAGUGUACCUAGAUUGA
rnacentral:ncRNA from 1 species